rnacentral:rRNA from 1 species
UGCAAGUUCGAACGGAAAGGCCCUGCUUUUGUGGGGUGCUCGAGUGGCGAACGGGUGAGUAACACGUGAGUAACCUGCCCUUGACUUUGGGAUAACUUCAGGAAACUGGGGCUAAUACCGGAUAGGAGCUCCUGCUGCAUGGUGGGGGUUGGAAAGUUUCGGCGGUUGGGGAUGGACUCGCGGCUUAUCAGCUUGUUGGUGGGGUAGUGGCUUACCAAGGCUUUGACGGGUAGCCGGCCUGAGAGGGUGACCGGCCACAUUGGGACUGAGAUACGGCCCAGACUCCUACGGGAGGCAGCAGUGGGGAAUAUUGCACAAUGGGCGGAAGCCUGAUGCAGCAACGCCGCGUGCGGGAUGACGGCCUUCGGGUUGUAAACCGCUUUCGCCUGUGACGAAGCGUGAGUGACGGUAAUGGGUAAAGAAGCACCGGCUAACUACGUGCCAGCAGCCGCGGUGAUACGUAGGGUGCGAGCGUUGUCCGGAUUUAUUGGGCGUAAAGGGCUCGUAGGUGGUUGAUCGCGUCGGAAGUGUAAUCUUGGGGCUUAACCCUGAGCGUGCUUUCGAUACGGGUUGACUUGAGGAAGGUAGGGGAGAAUGGAAUUCCUGGUGGAGCGGUGGAAUGCGCAGAUAUCAGGAGGAACACCAGUGGCGAAGGCGGUUCUCUGGGCCUUUCCUGACGCUGAAGAGCGAAAGCGUGGGGAGCGAACAGGCUU